CAGCAGCCACGGGAAUACAGAGGGUGCAAGCGUUAAUCGGAAUUACUGGGCGUAAAGCGCGCGUAGGUGGUUUGUUAAGUUGGAUGUGAAAGCCCCGGGCUCAACCUGGGAACUGCAUCCAAAACUGGCAAGCUAGAGUACGGUAGAGGGUGGUGGAAUUUCCUGUGUAGCGGUGAAAUGCGUAGAUAUAGGAAGGAACACCAGUGGCGAAGGCGACCACCUGGACUGAUACUGACACUGAGGUGCGAAAGCGUGGGGAGCAAACAGGAUUAGAUACCCGAGUAGUCCCUGUCUCUUAUAA
rnacentral:rRNA from 1 species